UACGUAGGGUGCGAGCGUUGUCCGGAAUUAUUGGGCGUAAAGAGCUUGUAGGCGGUUUGUCGCGUCUGCCGUGAAAAUCCGGGGCUCAACCCCGGACUUGCGGUGGGUACGGGCAGACUAGAGUGUGGUAGGGGAGACUGGAAUUCCUGGUGUAGCGGUGAAAUGCGCAGAUAUCAGGAGGAACACCGAUGGCGAAGGCAGGUCUCUGGGCCACUACUGACGCUGAGAAGCGAAAGCUAGGGGAGCAAACGGG
rnacentral:rRNA from 1 species